AGAGUUUGAUCCUGGCUCAGGACGAACGCUGGCGGCGCGCCUAACACAUGCAAGUCGAACGAGAGAUGAAGAGCUUGCUCUUCAAAUCGAGUGGCGAACGGGUGAGUAACGCGUGAGGAACCUGCCUCAAAGAGGGGGACAACAGUUGGAAACGACUGCUAAUACCGCAUAAGCCCACGGCUCGGCAUCGAGCAGAGGGAAAAGGAGCAAUCUGCUUUGAGAUGGCCUCGCGUCCGAUUAGCUAGUUGGUGAGGUAACGGCCACCAAGGCGACGAUCGGUAGCCGGACUGAGAGGUUGAACGGCCACAUUGGGACUGAGACACGGCCCAGGACUCCUACGGGAGGCA
rnacentral:rRNA from 1 species